ACUUUUUAGCUGCAUGAUUUCAUUGGACUAACGACUUCACCUCUCUGGGCCUUGGUUUCCUCAUCAAAAAUGAGUUCCUACUUCAUAGAGUUAUAAUAAAAAAGAAAUAUACCUAAAGCUCUUAGGGCAGUACAACCAGGACCUGGACAAAAUAAGUGAUCUAUAGAUGUUAGUUAUUAUUAAUCAGACAUUGUGUUGAGAUCUGACCCAACUUUUUAAUUUUCCUGAGGAAGAUUCGCCCUGAGCUAACAUCUGUUGCCAAUCCUCCUCUUUAUUCACUUAAGGAAGAUUAGCCCUGAGCUAACACCUGUGCCAGUCUUGCUUUUUUUUUUUUUUUUUUUUUUUUGUAUGUAGGCUGCCUCCACAGUGUGGCUGGUGAGUGGACUGCCCGAGAUCUGAACCCAUGAACCUGGAUCACCAAGGUGGAGUGCGGGGAACUUUAACCACUCGGCCACCAGGCCAGGCCCCUAACUCAGCUUUUUUCCUUUCCUUUUGAAGAAACUUCAGAUGCUGGAGAAGCAGCAGUGGGUAAUCCAUCGUCCCAGAGAAACCACCUUUCAUUUAGUCAUUCCACAAGUCAUUACUGAGUGCUGACUAACUGCUAUCAAAAUCUGAGAACAUGGAGGGGCUCUGGAGGGGACUACUGUCCUGCUCAUAAAUAACCUGCUCGAAGGGUUAGCUAACUCACACUUGUUUGUGCUUUUUAUGGGCUAGACUUGGCUCAAUAUUUUGCUCAUUUAGUUCCAUAGCAAUCCAAUAAAGUCAUUUUUGUUCUUAUUAUUCCCAUUUUACAGAUGAGAAAACAGAGGCUUAUAGUCAUUAGGUAACUUGCCCAGACCAGCAAAGGAGGGGAGGAAGAGGCACCACUCAGAGGUACGGACCCCAUCUUUCACAGAGGGAAACACACUGCAUCCUUGUUUGUAUCAUUCACGGAGCCUGGCAUUCAGCUCUCAAAGCAGAAUUGAUUGUCCAGAAAAGAUCAAGUUAUCCUCCUUCUGUGCCCUCAAAGUACCCAAGAUAUAAACAGUGUCUCUCUACAUCUGCAAUGAAUCCUGCUCUAAGUGAAAUGAAGGAGAACCACGCUGGUUCCCCUGUUAAAUAUCAGGAGAGGUGCAGCCUGAGCCAUAGACCAGCCUCCAAGGUCCUAAGGGUGACCGAUAGUACUGUGUUCCUGGCCUCCAGAUUAGUCAACUGAGAUUGCAUCUUCCUUUCACCACAAAGUCCUGAUUGUAAAGUGCUACUAAAUUCUGUCUAAGACUAUGUUAACCAAGAAGCUGGUUUGCAAGUAAUACCAAAUGGCUCGUUCAGUUUAUUCUUGCAUUGUAUUCCUUCCCCCCACCCCGCCCCC
rnacentral:lncRNA from 1 species